GACGAACGCUGGCGGCGUGCUUAACACAUGCAAGUCGAACGGAGUGGCGAACGGGUGCGUAACACGCGGGUGACCUGCCCUGCACUUCGGGAUAAGCCCGGGAAACUGGGUCUAAUACCGGACAGUGAGGGAUGGGCCCGCGGCCUAUCAGCUUGUUGGGGGGGUAAUGGCCUACCAAGGCGGCGACGGGUAGCCGGCCUGAGAGGGUGGACGGCCACAUUGGGACUGAGAGACGGCCCAGACUCCUACGGGAGGCAGCAGUGGGGAAUAGUGCACGAUGGGCGGGAGCCUGAUGCAGGGACGCCACGUGGGGGGUGUCGGCUUUCGGGUUGUAUACUCCUUUCACCAUCGACGCGGUAGCUGGAGAAGAAGCACCGGCUAACUACGUGCCAGCCGCCGCGGUAAUAC
rnacentral:rRNA from 1 species